AUACGGAGGGUGCAAGCGUUAUCCGGAAUCAUUGGGUUUAAAGGGUCCGCAGGCGGAUUAAUAAGUCAGUGGUGAAAUCCUCUCGCUUAACGAGAGAACUGCCAUUGAAACUGUUAGUCUUGAAUUCGGUCGAAGUAGGCGGAAUGUGUCAUGUAGCGGUGAAAUGCAUAGAUAUGACACAGAACACCGAUAGCGAAGGCAGCUUACUAGACCUGGAUUGACGCUCAUGGACGAAAGCGUGGGGAGCGAACAGGAUUAGAAACCCUAGUAGUCC
rnacentral:rRNA from 1 species